ensembl:lncRNA
AUUAUGUCCAUGUUUCUUAAUAGGCUAGUGGAUUUGUCGAGGAUUAACUUGUAGUGUUGCAUCUCGGUGCACCCUGUAAGUAAAAUCGAUUAGGAGACAAAAAGAUUUUAAAUAUCGGGGGGAAAAAACAACGCGUUACUGUAACCUCUCGGGUGAAAGUUAGAGCAACUGUACCUUUGCGCUGAUCUUCAUAUUUUUCGUUUUUUUAUAUAACUUAACGAUGAUUCCAGUACAAAAAUGAGAAAAGCUAUGCGCUUGUUGCCAAAAAAAGUUUUUAAAAAUAAAUAAAUGAGGAAGCUGCAGUAUUGUGCCAUUUAAGAUGAAUUAUAAUGUUUGUUAUAAAAUUCUUUAUAAUUUCACUUGCUAGGUUUAUGUUAAGGCUACGUUUGGCAUUUUGUUUAAAUGCGACAUGGUUCUCCAUCAUAUUUGUCCACCUUGUAGAUUCAUUUAAAAAUCUUCGUAAAGUUACGAAGGAUGCUCGAUUUUUCUCCUUGACUUACGAUGUGCUUACACUGCGAGCCCCGCCCACAAUUGUGAUUGACAGCGCCAUCAGCCAAUGAGCUGGGUCGAUGCCUUGUUAAAUCUACAAACAUGUCUCUGUCCAAAAUGCUAGAAUUCAUGACUAGUUAGCAAAACUCCCCCAAAACCAAAACAACUCGUUACAAAUGGUGCCACGUUAACUAACUGUAGCUACACAGCUAUGUUAUCUGUAUUUAGAGGUCGUAUUUGUUAAGUUUCCCUUUUUUUUUUUUUGCAAGCAUUUAUGUGGUAGAGCGCUAACUCAUGGGUUACUAAACUAACAGGCGAUUAGCUAGCUACUACUAUUACUAACUAUGUUGGACAAUUCUAGCAUUUGGGAUACAGCCAUAGAACUGUGUGUGAUUGAACUUCUUCACAGUUUAGAGUAGGCGAAGCUAAUCAUAAAGGGCUAGUGAUUCCCUUUAGGCUAAAUUUUUUUCCCUCCCGCAAAAUAUUCAAACGAUUGCUUUACCUGAAUAAUUCCACAGUAUAUGUCCUCCUACUCUAAAAUGUGACUGUUUUGCGUCCCACCUGUUGAAUGCUGAUGUGCAAAUGUGUGUAUAUGUUUGAGUUUUAUGUGAAUGCACAGACUUACACAAGUUACCAGGUCCAGCUAACAAACAGCUGCCUCACGUGUUAGCCUUUCACGCCCACAUAACUAUGUUUUCCUGUACAUUUUUUGGUUGUUGUUUUUUUCCCCAUACGUAUCUGUGAAGUUUACACCCUCAUUACAUCGCAGCAACAUUUUGUAACAGCUUUGUUUUGUUCCAAGGUUACUGCAAUCAAUUUCUUAAAAAUCGUACGUACUGUAAAAGUACCGAUGAAACGUUCAGAAGCUAAAUAAAGUCAUUUGAAUUUGACAUGAUGCGAUUAAACUGGUGACUUUUUUCUUUCUUUUGUGUUUGUUCGUUCGUUAGUUCAUUUGUGG